GACAGAGGGUGCAAACGUUGUUCGGAAUUACUGGGCGUAAAGCGUGUGUAGGCGGUCCUCUAAGUCGGGUGUGAAAGCCCAGGGCUCAACCCUGGAAGUGCACUCGAAACUGGAAGGCUAGAGUACCGGAGAGGUUGGUGGAAUUCUCGGUGUAGAGGUGAAAUUCGUAGAUAUCGAGAGGAACACCGGUGGCGAAGGCGGCCAACUGGACGAGUACUGACGCUGAGGAGCGAAAGCGUGGGGAGCAAACAGG
rnacentral:rRNA from 1 species